CAAGGGCAUCUUCAAAAUGAAACAGUUAAGAUUCACAAAGGCUAGCGAACAGGUUAGCCGGGACCGGGACCAGAGACUGUUGGACGUUCUCUAGUUGGGGAGAGGAUUGGACCAGACAAGGUGUUUUCAGAAAUCAGCUUGGUAGACUCUACAUAAAUAGUCUGAAGGUUGUAGCGAUGAACAUCCAAUGAGACAACCAAGUGACAGUUUUUCCUGUUGACCUGCUCCGCCGGUGGGACUUUACCAGGAGAUUCUUCCUGACUGGUACUCUUCCGGCUCCGGAGCAGUAGUCCGGGAUCCCUCAAAAUCCUGGGAGAAGGCGGAGGGCGCGCUGCUUGGGCACUGGCACAGAGCGGUUGUCGUGCUGUCGAGUGAAUUCCAGGCCAGACUGUUUUGAGGCUUACAACAGAGGGCAUGGAGGCCUGAGAAUGGAAAGAAGCCUGAAAUGGCUGGAAGAAAUCUGCAGAAAGCUCACUUGCCACCAGCGUUCCUUAAAGAGUGGAAGACCAUUAGAGUCUACUCGAAAUGGCCUCUCGCCUCCGGGCAUCUGUCUCAGAACUAGAGGAGACUGCUCAUCUUUGCGAAUGAGACUUAUGGAGAAUCUGCUUAGGUGUUCCUGAAAGGCACACACCAGCAUCGAAUGUUUAGAAACAAUAUCAUUCUGUAGCCCUGACUGGCAAUUCUUCUGUCUCAGUCUCCUGGAGUUCUGGAAUUACAGGCGUGCAUCACAAAGUUAAGUAUUUUACGUUUUACAAUCUCAAUUCACGCAGCAAUUUAGAAGUUCAGGGUGCAGUUGAAAAUUAAGCUGAGCCAGACGCGGUGAACAAGCCUUUAAAUCCCUGCAUUCCGGAUUUACCUAGAGAGUUGUCUUUAAAAUCUAAAAGAAAGUUUGACUGAAUAUUACUUAAGUGUUCAAUGUGAAUGAAACCAUUUAAAAAUGUACUUGUAAGAAGAGACAAACGUUUCCUGGUGCGGCUGCGGGGUCAGCCUGUAUGCUGAGUGCGGCGCAGGGCUACUGUGUAACGUCUAAACCGCUUUGUGUGGUGUCUCUUUACUCAUUUUCACCUGCCUGGCGAAUCAGACAAGCUCUGUAAUUCUACUCGGUUUUGGUUCCCAACAGCUUUUUUGUCUUUGGUUUUGUAUCCUGCCCCCCCACCCCCUUCUCUUUAAACGCCACAGAACUGUAACUAUUAAAAGUAAUUCGCCCUUCUCUCUCCCCUUCUCUCCCCUCCUCUCCCCUCCUUUUUUUUUUUUCUUUCGUUUUUGUUUUAUUUUGUUUUUCGAGAAAGCGUUUCUCUGUGUCGUUCUGGCUGUCUGGGAACUCGUUUCAUAGACUAGGCAGGCCUCUUGCUUCUGCCUUCCAAAUUCUGGGAUUAAAAGUAUCCGGUUGCAUUUCUAAUGUAAGUACGGAAAGUUAAAAAAAAAAAAAAGGUUUGGGGAUUUAGCUCAGCGGUAGAGCGCUUGCCUAGCUCCGGAAAAAGAAAAGAAAAAAAAAAAAGCAAGCGCAGAAUAAAACUUACUUUUCCUCUGCUUAAGUUUGUGAAUUAACAAACUGAUCAGGCUUCCACAAACUAGUGUGUCGAAAAACCAUCUUAACCUCUCAUACGCUGUGAGCAGGAUUUGAACCUGCGCGGGAAGAACCCAUUGGAUUUCGAGUCCAACGCCUUAACCACUCGGCCAUCACAGCUCACUCGAGCUGCAUGUAUGUUAUGUCAUUUGUAUAUUAAAAAAAUAAUUUAAAAAAUUCUCUGAAAGCAAAUUACAUACUCUGAAGGCACUGAAUGCUAUAAUCGCAUCAAUGCCAGACACUCCCAACUAUUAGGAAAUUUCCUUUCAGCAAUACACAGAAAGCAAUCACUAAUCAGAUCUCUUCCUCAAGUCUUACUCAACCCUAUCCCUGUAGGCUUUUUAAAGGGAGAACAAUAUUCCAGCAUACCAGAAUCUCUGGUUUUAGUCUUCUUUUCCCCACUUCCGGUUUUCACGGCUUACCGAGUUUUUCUUCAUAGAUGUGGCAGGGAAUCGCGUUUGAGCUAGUUGUGUGUACAACUAUAAUCUUAAAUAAGAUUGCUUUCCCCACACAACUCGAGAAGCACUGCUCUCGAGGGAGACAAUUUGGUAAGUUCUAUCUAUACUCAAAAUUUAUGUGCCUUCUGAGGCAAUAUUUCUACAAAUGUGCAAGAUAUGUUUGCACACAUGAGUGGUUUUGCUGGGGUCAAGAUCAUUCUCUUCUGAAUAUGCAGUGUUGAGGAAAACAUCAGCAAUAUGUGUUUUUAAAAAUAAUUCUCUUGUUAGUGUUAAACAA
rnacentral:sRNA from 1 species